CAGAUGACGAGGAGAAACAAAACGCGGUGUACGUGAUCAGUGUGGCCAGGAAGCUCGGUUGCAGCGUGUUCUUGCUGUGGGAUGACAUUGGCGAGGUGAGACCCGAGAUACCGUGAUGCUGUGGAGUCUGGGCGAGAAGGCUAAGAAAGCUGCUAAUACAGCUGCUGUUCUUGAGCUCCACAACAAGAGUGUUUCAGCUCUAGAGUUCCUAGCGGCCUGCCACAAGGACAAUGGUGCACCAAGCUCAUUUUUCCUCCUAAACGGAGCAGUUGGACGUGACGCUGCUUAACGUCCAUUACAUGAGUGAUCGAUGAGAUGAAGAGCUUGUCAUUGAUUCUAAAGUUGCGAGGCUUGGUUUUGCGAUUGACAGGGAUGGACUGAAGUUGUAUGUGGCGAGGCUUUCAGAGAUCCAUCUCGUGGACGAAAGCCUGGUGGCAUCGGAACCAAGUUCGGAGAUGCAUUGGUAUGUUUCUUAUUAUUCCCGUAAGCAUUUUACUUUGAA